GGCCGGGUCCCAUGCAGGCCGGGCCCGCGAACCUGGUCAGGCGGGGAACCGAGCAGCCAUACGCGUGCAGCUCCGGUCGUGCUGUGGCAAACCCGGCCGAU
rnacentral:SRP_RNA from 1 species